ACGGGUGAGUAACACGUGGAUAACCUACCUAUAAGACUGGGAUAUUCGGGAAACCGGAGCUAUACCGGAUAAUAUUUUGAACCGCAUGGUUCAAAAGUGAAAGACGGUCUUGCUGUCACUUAUAGAUGGAUCCGGCUGCAUUAGCUAGUUGGUAAGGUAACGGCUUACCAAGGCAACGAUGCAUAGGACCUGAGAGGGUGAUCGGCCACACUGGAACUGACACGGUCCAGACUCCUACGGGAGGCAGCAGUAGGGAAUCUUCCGCAAUGGGCGAAAGCCUGACGGAGCAACGCCGCGUGAGUGAUGAAGGUCUUCGGAUCGUAAAACUCUGUUAUUAGGGAAGAACAUAUGUGUAAGUAACUGUGCACAUCUUGACGGUACCUAAUCAGAAAGCCACGGCUAACUACGUGCCAGCAGCCGCGGUAAUACGUAGGUGGCAAGCGUUAUCCGGAAUUAUUGGGCGUAAGCGCGCGUAGGCGGUUUUUUAAGUCUGAUGUGAAAGCCCACGCUCAACCGUGGAGGUUCAUUGGAAACUGGAAACUUGAGUGCAGAAGAGGAAAGUGUAUUCCAUGGGUGAAAUGCGCAAAGAUAUGGAGGAACACCAGUGGCCGAGGCGACUUGCUGGUCUGUACCUGACGCUGAUGUGCGGAAGCGAGCGCAUCAAACAGGAUUAGAUACCCCUGUGUAGUCCACGCCGGUAAACUAUGAGUGGUUAGAUGUUCGGUGGUUUCUGCCCCAUUAGUGCCGC
rnacentral:rRNA from 1 species